rnacentral:rRNA from 1 species
AAGAACAUUCCUACGGGUGGCAGCAGUAGGGAAUCUUCCACAAUGGACGCAAGUCUGAUGGAGCAACGCCGCGUGAGUGAAGAAGGGUUUCGGCUCGUAAAGCUCUGUUGUUAAAGAAGAACGUGGGUAAGAGUAACUGUUUACCCAGUGACGGUAUACCA